GUGGGGAAUCUUGCGCAAUGGGCGAAAGCCUGACGCAGCCAUGCCGCGUGAAUGAUGAAGGUCUUAGGAUUGUAAAAUUCUUUCACCGGGGACGAUAAUGACAGUACCCGGAGAAGAAGCCCCGGCUAACUUCGUGCCAGCAGCCGCGGUAAUACGAAGGGGGCUAGCGUUGCUCGGAAUUACUGGGCGUAAAGGGCGCGUAGGCGGACAGUUUAGUCAGAGGUGAAAGCCCAGGGCUCAACCUUGGAAUUGCCUUUGAUACUGGCUGUCUUGAGUACGGGAGAGGUGAGUGGAACUCCGAGUGUAGAGGUGAAAUUCGUAGAUAUUCGGAAGAACACCAGUGGCGAAGGCGACUCACUGGCCCGUUACUGACGCUGAGGCGCGAAAGCGUGGGGAGCAAACAGGAUUAGAUACCCUGGUAGUCC
rnacentral:rRNA from 1 species